ACCGGAUGUUGAACUGCAGCCAAUACACUGACGGACUCGCCAUCCGAAGAUUCGGCAGCGACUGAGAACGCGGAUGAUGGGCACCGAACUAAAACACCAUAAUCUUUACUGCAGAUGCCUGUGCUGAGCAGGAUGAGAACAAAAGGUUGAUGAAGUGCAAUCCAAUAUACAGAUUGAUUUACUCGAGAGCGUAAAGCAAUAAUCAAUCAAUCGGCCAUUUGCAUAGAGAAGAAAUGUUUCUCACAAUGAAGGUAUUAGGAGUGUUUAUUUGAAGAAGAUUCUGACGUUCGUGCUUUGUGAGGUGGUGCUUCGGACAGCGGCUAGAACCGAUCCGCGUAAAAUUCUUGAAAUUACCACAAUGAGCGUCCAAAACUUCACUAUGUGUAUGGCAUUCGAACUCAGGUCAUGACAUAUACCGUUUUCGAGACCAGAGCAUGCACCCCAGGCAAGUGCACACACCAUGAUUUGUGUCGCCGCAAUACACGAGGAAGAUUCGCCAGGAAGUGCUAUGCCUAAGAACAUCACGGAAAGGGUCAAAGUGGUCAUUCCGGUGAAAAGUUUCAAUUCGUACUGAAAGCUGAACGCUGCGACAAUUAAUGACCAUUAACGUUCAUAAUUGAAUUGCAUUUCUUAAUGUACAAGAAUGAAAAGUAGAAUAUAAAAUUAACCAUUUCAUGGAA